rnacentral:rRNA from 1 species
CCUACGGGUGGCUGCAGUAGGGAAUCUUCGGCAAUGGGGGCAACCCUGACCGAGCAACGCCACGUGAGUGAAGAAGGUUUUCGGAUCGUAAAGCUCUGUUGUAAGAGCAGAACGUGUGUGAGAGUGGAAAGUUCACACAGUGACGCUAACUUACCAGACAGGGACGGCAAACUACGUGCCAGCAGCCGCGGUAAAACGUAGGUCCCGAGCGUUAUCCGGAUGUAUUGGGCGUAAAGCGAGCGCGGGCGGUUGGAUAGGUCUGCAGUUAAAGGCUGUGGCUCAACCAUAGUAUGCUUUGGAAACUGUUAAACUUGAGUGCAGUAGAGGAGAGUGGAAUUCCAUGUGUAGCGGUGGAAUGCGUAGAUAUAUGGAGGAAACCCGGUGGCGAAAGCGGCUUUCUGGUCUGUAACUGACGCUGAGGCUCGAAAGCGUGGGUAGCGAACAGGAUUAGAUACCCUAGUAGUC